GUGGGGAAUUUUGGACAAUGGGCGCAAGCCUGAUCCAGCGACGCCGCGUGGAGGACGAAGGCCUUCGGGUUGUAAACUCCUUUUGGAGGGGAAGAAUAAAUUGACGGUACCCUCAGAAAAAGCCACGGCUAACUACGUGCCAGCAGCCGCGGUAAUACGUAGGUGGCGAGCGUUACUCGGAAUUACUAGGCGUAAAGCGUAUGUAGGUGGUUAGAUAAGUCUAUGGUGAAAUUUCCUGGCUUAACUGGGAAGGGACAUAGAUACUAGCUGGCUUGAGUGUGGGGGGGGGAGACGGAAUUCCUGGUGUAGCGGUGAAAUGCGUAGAUAUCAGGAGGAACACCGAUGGCGAAAGCAGUCUCCUGGCCCAAUACUGACACUGAGGUACGAAAGCUAGGGUAGCAAACAGGAUUAGAAACCCGGGUAGUCC
rnacentral:rRNA from 1 species